rnacentral:lncRNA from 1 species
GGGCGUGAAGGACUUUGUCAGUUCAAGCCAGAGGAAGACCAGUAGACGUCUGUGAGCUGUCUGUCUCGCUCUCUGUCUCGCUCUCUCUCUCUGAACCCUGAAAAACGGUAGUCUGAUUACGGGAACACCUCCUGACACUCUUUGAAGGAGCUACAGUUUCUCAGACAGGUCCGCUGAUCCAGGAGAAGACUGGCGCUAACAGCUAGUGGAGACCCAGGUAUAGCUGGGGUCCGGCAGGCUCGGGGGCAGCAGAAGCUCUUCACCAUGGAUGUGGAUGAGGAGGAGAACAUGAGUGAGUAUCUGUGCACACCAACAAUACACUCUCACACACUUACAAGGAAGUGCACAAGUAUAUAGAUAGACACACAGCCUAAUAUCCAUUGAAUAUAAUACACACUUAUAAAACAACAACCUAUCCUUGGAUGCAGAACAUCCUGGUCCAAUCCGAUAAAUGAAGCCACACACUUAUGUAGAUCUGCACACUCAUCCUCAUUAAUCACACAUUUAUACACACCUGUAUAUGCAGCCUUUUACUCACUCAUACUCUCCCACAAGACUAUGUUCACACUAGACCUGUUUUCCUCAACUGAGCGACCACAAGACGGUCAAAACUUGUCCAAUUUGAAAAGCUCCAAAUG